UAUAGGAGGCGGCGGAGGAGGCGAGUGGGGUUUGGAGGGGUGGAGCCAGGGCUUGGAAGUAAUGGGAAUUCGAGUUCCGGGUCGAGAGGGGAGUAUGUUUCGUUGGCUCAACUGGAGGAAGAUGGAACCAGUGUUGCAAAGCAUCUGGAAUCUGCGAACACAAUGUUUUCUUUUAUCUGGUGGAUCAUUGGGUUUUAUUGGGUGUCUGCUGGCGGCCAAGCUUUGGCUCGUGGCUCCCCUCAACUCUACUGGCUUUGCAUAAUUUUUCUUGGUUUUGAUGUGUUCUUUGUCGUUUUCUG
rnacentral:misc_RNA from 1 species